AUCCAGCUGACGACUCCCAAAUAGGACGAAAUACACACCCUGGAU
rfam:Trichobilharzia regenti genome assembly, scaffold: TRE_scaffold0042770